AUGCUGAAACUCUGGAUUUUUUCACUUAUGAUUGUUAUUUAUGUCCAUACUAAAAAAUAAAAAUAAGAACACAUUGUGUACUGGCAUUUAUACACUCCUAUCGUAAUAUAUGGCUCCACUUUUUACUAAGGUAUAAAAGCUGCAUUUGGUUAAGGAAAUCAUGCCUCCAUUUAAUUUUUAUAGAAUCAAAUGUAAUAAGACUUUGUAGUUUGGGUGUUGCCAUCUUUGAUGUUUACAUAAUCACUGUCACUAUAGUAACAGGUCACAAAUAGAAUACUAGUUGCACGUGCUUACUUGAACAUUCUGCUUCCUUUAUGUGUCAUGUGUCAUGGUAAUAGCAUUUUUAAUAGCAUUUUUAUAUGAUAAGACUAGGGAAAACAUGGUUUAAAUCUUUCAUUCUCCGUACAUUCCAUAAAUUGUAAAGUUUGCAGUAUUUCAGGAAAUAAGGGAACAUUUUAUUUUUUGUGAAAACUGAAAUGCAGUAGUUUUAAAUGGAGAAUAUUUGAGACCAAUACAAAAAAAUCCCUGUAGUGGCACCGUGGUAUACCAUUUGUAUGGUAGCCUAAUGGUAUAAAGGCUAUUUUUUGCAGUGUUGUUGGAGAUAUUCUGAAAUUGAAGUCCAACUGAAAACAGCAACAACAAAUAUAAAUGAUGCAUGCAAAGCUGCAAAACAAUGAACAACAUAAUCACAACACAAGACAUCAUUAUAACAUUGUUUCCUGUCAUUCAGUUGUUGGCGCGUUAUUUCUUUCAUCCUCAAAAACGAUGUAGAUCAACAUCAGUCCAUUAAGUGGCAGUAUGCGCACUCAGAUCUGUGAACGGACAGAAGAAGAACUACAUCAAAGAAGAGUCUGAAAGAAUCAUGGAGGUGGAUGAGAAAGAUGCGCCUUCAGGGAAAGAUCCUAAAAAACAGUCGCAGUCUUUAAUUACCGCCCAAACUCCAGCAGAGCAGCAGCGCUUCAAGUUGGAGAAACUGAUGCGUUUACCCUUAACUUUACCUCGGUUUUAUUUGGAGUAAUGAUUCUACUGAACUGUCGCAGAAGCACUGAACACAAACAGUGCUGAGUUUGAUAUUUUUAAAGGCUAAAUCUGCGCCCAUACCAGAGAAACCAGACCAGAGGAGGGGAAUCCACGCGCGAUGUGAUGGGCUCAGAGGAGAAUUCAUCAUCAUCAUCAUCCUCUGCUUCUGAAGCAGAAGAGCCCAGCUUCAUCAUGGGGAAGAGGUGACUGGAUGAAAGGAUCGACUGCUUGAGUCAGAUGUUCAACACUUGAGCUGGACAUAUGAAAAGCUGGAUGUUUGUCUUUGCUGGAUGAUGAUGAAAGAAUGUGAUCAGAAUCAACCUUUAUUCUAUUUGUAAAUAUGUAUUUUAUUUAUUUAAUAAAAAAUAAACUACAAGAGAAAUAAACAA